rnacentral:lncRNA from 1 species
CGUGUACCUAACCAUAACCAUCAAUGUCUUUCUUAAAAUCAAUACACAAGUAUAUAUUUUUAAACCUGCAUAUUUAGUUAAUAUUGCAUGCUAACAUGAAUUUCUUUUAACCUGUUAGGGCUAGGGGGCAGUAUUGACACGGUUGGAUAAAAAACGUACCCGAUUUAAUCUGGUUACUACUCCUGCCCAGUAACUAGAAUAUACAUAUAAUUGUUGGCUUUGGAUAGAAAACACCCUAAAGUUUCUAAAACUGUUUGAAUGGUGUCUGUGAGUAUAACAGAACUCAUAUGGCAGGCAAAAACCUGAGAAGAUUUCAUGCAGGAAGUGGCCUGUCUGACAAAGUGUCGUUCUUCUUGCCUCUGUUUAUUGAAGACUGAGGAUCUCUGCUAUAACGUGACACUUCCUACGGCUCCCAUAGGCUCUCAGAAGGCGGCAAAAAGCUGAAUCGUGGCUUUGCAGGCUCUGGCUGAAAAAAAGUAGCGCGUUUGGGUAGUGGCUGGUUACAGUACUGUGAGACUCGCGUCGACCGAAUGCUUUGUUUUCUUUCCUCUGUUUACCUAAACGCAGAUUCCCGGUCGGAAUGUUAUCGCUUUUUACGAGAAAAAUGGCAUAAAAAUUGAUUUUAAACAGCGUUUGACAUGCUUCGAAGUACGGUAAUGGAAUAUUUAGAUUUUUUUUGUCACGAAUUGCGCCAUGCUUGUGACCCUUAUUUACACUUCGGAUAGUGUCUUGAACGCACGAACAAAACGCCGCUAUUUGGAUAUAACGAUGGAUUAUUUUGGACCAAACCAACAUUUGUUAUUGAAGUAGCAGUCCUGGGAGUGCAUUCUGACGAAGAACAUCAAAGAGGUAAGUGCAGUCGGGCUGUCUUCCUUCAGUAAUCUGUGGAGAAAAUUGCUGCCCCACAUCUCAAGCACUUAGCCCAGAACAUACCUGUGCUGGCAGUGCCAGAGGACCAACAAUCAGGUCUUAAGAUCUGCCACUCUGCCAGAAGCUGUUAAAUCAGCCAAGCUGAAGAAGCAAGAGCAGCAUCUCCUGCUUGUUCAGAUUGAGUGGUCUAUCUACCAGAAGAUGGUUUCUGACUGCGAGACCACCUGUCAAGACCUGCAGUUGUCUCUGGGGAGCCCUACUGAAGCAGCAAGCAAAGACAUCAGGUUGUAUUACAGAUUUGAUUUUCCUCAACAGGUGCACUCUCCUUUUGACCCUAUGCAGCCAGGGUCCAUCUACUUUUUAACAAGAACAAGUUUGUGCUCUGGUUAUUGUUCCUGGCAGACCAUACACAAGCUCCACCACAGUCUGGACCUUCACUUCCUGAUCACAGGCCACACAAAGUCUUCCCCUGACUGGUUGUUCGGCCUCAUCAAGCAGCACUUCAGAAAGACCUGAGUGAACACUGUGUCAGAGAUGGCUGGUAUGGUGAAGGACAGCACUGUGACAGGGGUUAAAAUCCCACAGCUGGUUGGACUGAAGGAUGUUACGGUGCUGGAAAAAACCUAUGGCUAGCAACCACACCUGACCUGUACUUCAGACCACUGCCACAGAUCAAGCAAUACCAGCACUUCAGCUUUAAUGCUCUGGAGCCUGGUGUUGUUGUCACCAAGGAGCGUUCGGACUCAGUCGGUACCUGCUGCGGAACGCUGACGUCUUUCCUCCUAUAGGUGGUCUGCCUGUACGAGCACCACCUGGACUGGACACAACUAGAUAAACAUAUAUUUUUAAAAGAUCAGGGAGUUUUGCAACGAAGAGGACAUGGACAUCAUAUGCCCUACACCAAAGUCAAGGGCAGGACAGAAACAGGCUCUCCGAAUAUAGGUUCCCUUGUUCAUGCGUGGUGCGGAUGGACCAGCUCAUCACUGGGUGCAAGUUCCCAGUCAUCUGGACUAUCUGCAGUGCCUAGGGCUGUGGCGGUUGCGAGAUUUCAUCAUUCGGUUAUUGUCAAGCAACUACACCUUAACAAUAAAUCCAUGAUUUACUUUAGGCAGGUCUAAAGAAGCAUGAUAUGAAGAAAAUGUAGUAUAGCAUGCUUUAAGUUGUCCUUAUGUUAGGUCCUGAUCUGGCUAUGCCAAAUGGCUGUGGGCUACACUAGUUCAUUUAACAAACAAGAUUUGCUUAGAAUUCAGUGGCAUUAUUUUAUAGUAUGAAGAAUACAAUUGGACAAAGCUGAAUAAAAUAGAAAGGAUAUUUUCUCCAAACGAUUUGAGGGAGCGCGCAAAUUUCUAUUCUGUGUUGAGCGGUUAACAAAGAAAUAGGUAUUCCUAUACGCUUAAUUUAGAAUUAUUAAUGUAACUUUAGUUGUUCUACAAACUUUGGGCUAUAUACAGUAUUUUGAUUUUGAAUACAUUGUAAGGCUGCAUGAUGCGAUUGUAAUGAUUAUAAAUAUAUAUUAUUUUGUUCUUUCUUUACUAGCAUUGACACUUAUAUUUUAUAUUUAUAUUGACACUUUCUAUUUUUGAUAUUGCUACUAUACAAAUAUGCAAGUAACCAUUUCACUGUACCCAUCCACUUAGCUAGACGUUGCUAUGGGGUGAUUAUAGCCUGAUUACAGGUGUGUCUGGAGGUGAUUACGGCCAUGUAACGAUCGUCUGGAAGAGGGGACCAAGAUGCAGCGUGGUAAGUGGUCAUAAUGAUUUUUAAUGAGACACUUCAAAAACAAACAGGGAAAACGAAAGCCAACAGUUCUGCCAGGUGAACACACACAAGACAGAAAAC